AGUUGCACCUCGAUAGCAGCCUUACUGCCGUGAGUAGAGGAACAUGCUAGAAAGCCCCAUGGCCUGCCUCUCCAGCCUCCCGCUUCUCAAUGUGUGCCCAUCACUGAAGACCUGGCUUCCCAAAACUUUCCCAAAGGUCUGGCUUUGUUCCGGAAUAUAUCGUCUGACAAGUACAGCUCUCCCUCACAAGUAAGCACAAAAUUGGCUUUAUUUGCAUUGAAUAUCCAGUACAAUUUGUGGUAAAUUCACGAGUUCUUAGGAUUUGUUUAUGCAUAACGACGUGUAACAGAGCACUGUGAGAUGAUCAAAUUCAAUCUUUUCAGUUCUUGGGGUUGCUAGAAUCUGUUUUUUGUGUUUAUUUAACUCUCCAACUGCUAAAAUGUAGGUAUAAAU
rnacentral:lncRNA from 1 species